rnacentral:rRNA from 1 species
UACGUAGGGUGCGAGCGUUGUCCGGAAUUAUUGGGCGUAAAGAGCUCGUAGGCGGUUUGUCGCGUCGGCCGUGAAAACUUGGGGCUUAACCCCAAGCCUGCGGUCGAUACGGGCAGACUUGAGUUCGGCAGGGGAGACUGGAAUUCCUGGUGUAGCGGUGAAAUGCGUAGAUAUCAGGAGGAAUACCGAUGGCGAAGGCAGGUCUCUGGGCUGACACUGACGCUCAUGCACGAAAGCGUGGGGAGCAAACAGG